UACAGAGGUCCCGAGCGUUGUUCGGAUUCACUGGGCGUAAAGGGUGCGUAGGUGGUGAGGUAAGUCGGAUGUGAAAUCUCCGAGCUCAACUCGGAAAUGGCAUUGGAAACUACCUUGCUCGAGGGUUGGAGGGGGGACUGGAAUACUUGGUGUAGCAGUGAAAUGCGUAGAUAUCGAGAGGAACACCAGUGGCGAAGGCGAGUCCCUGGACAACACCUGACACUGGGGCACGAAAGCUAGGGGAGCAAACAGG
rnacentral:rRNA from 1 species